GCUCGGCUGCUUAGUUGGUAAAGCGCUCGUCUAGCAUACAAGAGUCCUGGGUUCAAAUCCCAGCCGAGCA
rnacentral:tRNA from 1 species